AUGACCCCUCAUUUUAAAGACCACAUACUCAGGUAUCUGAAAAUACCAAUAACUUGAAUUUCAAUUUUUGCUACAACUUGGCCAUUUUGCCACAACAUGCCUCAUAUUACAAAUAAAUGUACAAUAUGCACACUGCAGUGAAACUCUUUUUCCAUUGAUUAAACACUUAUUGAAUAUUCAUUAUUUCAUCAUGCAUAUUAAUCACAUUUAAGCCAAUUCAUAAUUCGAACUGUGCAUGCCCGUAUCAAGGUCAAUUGAUUUAUGCAAACCACUGAUCAGUGACACAAAGGCCUAGUUCGGACUAGGUGGCUUAUCUCAAGCCAGGCUGUGUUCCAAUAACUAGGCCUGGCUUGUCACCGUGUUUAACUUUUCUAAACCGGGCUUUAAUCGUUGCAGAGGGGUCUUGCAUUGACUUCGGGUAACAAAAUGACCAAUCAGCAUUCAAUUACGUACGCUGUGAGCGAGCGUACGUUUUGCGAGCAACGUUUUGAAACAUGUUUCCUGGUUAUGGUUUAUUAGUAUGCAAAUUCUCGCACCUGGCUAAUCCCGUAGUCUGAACGCCCAGCAAAGUUAAGCCGGGCUUAACGUUGAGCCAGGCUUAACUCAAGUCUGGCUUAUCUCCAAGUCUAAACAUAGCCAAACACACAGCAUAGGUUUAUGUCGAUUGACCUUGGAUACGGGCACGCGCAAUUCAAACUACAAAUUGGCCUAUCAAUAGUUCACACCAGCACUCUGAUACAGUUCCGACAGCCAGAUUAAUGGAUAUUCACAUGGACCCAUAUUCAUAGUUACAUGUAUAGUAUUCUAAUACUUCAUGGACAGCCAUAUUCAUAUAAUCAAUAGUUCACGCUAGCAUUCUGAUACAUAUUCAAAUUAUUUCCGAUAGUCACAUUAAUGAAUAGUCAUAUGUACCCACAUUCAUAACUUAUAAUAUUUCAUAGACAGCCAACCUCAUGAAUAUUCAUAUUUCACAAACAUUCAUGUUAAUAACCACCUUGAUAAAUACUCAAAUAGUUCAUAUCAGCCAACUUCAUCCAUUCUAAAAAAAAUUGCAUAGACAGCCACCUA